rnacentral:SRP_RNA from 1 species
GCUGGGCAUGGUGGCUCAUGCCUGUAAUCCCAGCAUUUUGGGAGGCCGAGGCAGGUGGAUCACUUGAGGUCAGGAGUUCAAAAUCAGCCUGGCCAAUAUGGUGAAACCCUGUCUCUA